CCUACGGGAGGCAGCAGUGAGGAAUAUUGGUCAAUGGACGAGAGUCUGAACCAGCCAAGUCGCGUGAAGGAUGACUGCACUGUAGGUUGUAAACUUCUUUUGUAUGGGAAUAAAACAUGGGAUGCAUACCCUGUUGUGUGUACCAUAUGAAUAAGGAUCGGCUAACUCCGUGCCAGCAGCCGCGGUAAUACGGAGGUGGCGAGCGUUAUCCGGAUUUAUUGGGUUUAAAGGGAGCGUAGGUGGAUUCUUAAGUCAGUUGUGAAAGUUUGCGGCUCAACCGUAAAACUGCAGUUGAAACUGGGAGUCUUGAGUGCAGUAGAGGUGAGUGGAAGUCGAGGUGUAGCGGUGAAAUGCUUAGAUAUAAGGAAGAACACCGGUGGCGAAGGCAGCUGACUGGACUGCAACUGACACUGAGGCUCGAAAGCGUGGGUAGCAAACAGGAUUAGAUACCCUGGUAGUC
rnacentral:rRNA from 1 species